UUAACUCAAAUUUAUAUGGAGUUGGAACGUUUGCCGCUAGGGGCGCUGUUACCGCGGCAUACAAAUUUGAGUUA
rnacentral:pre_miRNA from 1 species